rnacentral:rRNA from 1 species
UAGGGAAUCUUGCGCAAUGGGCGGAAGCCUGACGCAGCGACGCCGCGUGAGGGAUGAAUGCCUUCGGGUUGUAAACCUCUUUCAGCAGGGACGAAGCUUCGGUGACGGUACCUGCAGAAGAAGCCCCGGCUAACUACGUGCCAGCAGCCGCGGUAAUACGUAGGGGGCAAGCGUUAUCCGGAUUUAUUGGGCGUAAAGAGCUCGUAGGCGGCCGAUCGCGUCGGAUGUGAAAGCUCGGGGCUUAACCCUGAGAGGCCAUUCGAUACGGAUCGGCUAGAGGUAGGUAGGGGAAAGUGGAAUUCCUGGUGUAGCGGUGAAAUGCGCAGAUAUCAGGAGGAACACCGGUGGCGAAGGCGGCUUUCUGGGCCUUACCUGACGCUGAGGAGCGAAAGCUGGGGGAGCAAACAGG